CCUUAGAGAGAAAUUCUGGCAUGCCGCAUAUGAAAGAGAGAGAUGGAGCUAGAUGAGUCAACGUCAAAAUCAUAUGAUCAAAACAUUGAACUCACAUUCAGAAAAUCGCUAAUUUUUCUCUCAUUCUGAAUUGAACACAUAGUUAAUCUGAUUGAUUCGAUUUGUAAAAGUGUUGAACAUUCUAAUAAAAGGAAUUAGCGAAUCCAUCUGCUAUUGCGAAAUUCAAAGCACCAAAAGAACUAAUUUUCAAAUAAAAUGCCUCACACUCGUGCAGCCUUCAAUUGUACAGCGAGAUUAGAAACAAGCCAAAAGUUGAAAUUUCAUUCUUCACAGUUUUCCAAAGGAUGACAAAUUAAGGGAACAGUGGAUGAAAGCUGAAGAAGAAUUGAUUUCAACCCUUUUUCCUUGUUGAAAAUAUGCAGCAACCGUUUUCAUCAACAUGAUUUAUUAAUAUUCAUGGUACAAAAACUCUGAAAAAAGAUGUUAUUCCUUCAGUUUUCAGUUUCUCCAAUUAUGCCUGAGAGAUUAAAUUAUGGAGAUAAAUGUCUUGAAGAUAAUAUUGAAGGUAUAUUAAUAUUUUAUUUUUUAUGGAUGUGAAAUAUCUAUUUAUUUUCCGUACCUUAUUUUAUUCAUUCAUAUAAAUAAUUAUUGCAAAAGAAAUUGAACAGGACCAGCCAGAGACAAAACAGCAAGAGAUGGGGCAACCAGAGACGGUACAACUGUUUAUAAUAACAAAAUCCUCUGCUGCUGCCAUGGAAGAUUUUCCUCCCAGAUUGAAUACUAAUAUUAGAAAUACCAGAAAUUAGAAACCUGAGAAUGAGGAUUUCCAAGAAUGGAACACUAGACGAAGUAAUAUCUGAGAGAAACAUCCAAAGAAAACCAAUAAUCUCAAUGUUAAAUAGGAUAUUAUCGAUUAAAAACAUAAAUGUGAAUUCAUCUUUAGAGAAGCUCAUUCACUGAAAGGCUGAAAAUUGGAAAAAUGAAUGUAUCAUAACUGAUCCUUGGAGAGAUAAGGAGAAGAUCCAUAAAUUUCAAGAUUUGGAGGAGUUUAGAACUAAGAAGAGGUAGAGCUCAAUCCUGAUAUUUUUCAAUAUCCUGGAUAUUAAAUGAUUGGAAGAGUGAAUAUCCUCCUUAGUGGAGAGUGAGAAAUCCGACUGCGAAUAUGUUCUUCCUCAUGCGCUGAUAGUCUAGAGUCGGACCAUUUUUUAAAUCAUUUAUUGUAAUAAUGUAUUUUGAACAGCAAUAAAAACUCUCUUUUUUUUAAUUGCCUCUGUUAUCUGGAAACAAUUUUUUGAAAGAUUUUACUAUUAUCAAAUUGAUAAGUGACUUGAACUAAACUAGUUGGAAGUAAUACAAAAUUGAAGAAUGAAAUGUAAUAGACAUAACUGAUUGUAUUUAAACGAUAAAAUUGUU